rnacentral:rRNA from 1 species
UGGGGAAUUUUGGACAAUGGGCGAAAGCCUGAUCCAGCAAUGCCGCGUGUGUGAAGAAGGCCUUCGGGUUGUAAAGCACUUUUGUCCGGAAAGAAAUCCUUGGCUCUAAUACAGUCGGGGGAUGACGGUACCGGAAGAAUAAGCACCGGCUAACUACGUGCCAGCAGCCGCGGUAAUACGUAGGGUGCAAGCGUUAAUCGGAAUUACUGGGCGUAAAGCGUGCGCAGGCGGUUUGCUAAGACCGAUGUGAAAUCCCCGGGCUCAACCUGGGAACUGCAUUGGUGACUGGCAGGCUAGAGUAUGGCAGAGGGGGGUAGAAUUCCACGUGUAGCAGUGAAAUGCGUAGAGAUGUGGAGGAAUACCGAUGGCGAAGGCAGCCCCCUGGGCCAAUACUGACGCUCAUGCACGAAAGCGUGGGGAGCAAACAGGAUUAGAUACCCUGGUAGUCCACGCCCUAAACGAUGUCAACUAGUUGUUGGGGAUUCAUUUCCUUAGUAACGUAGCUAACGCGUGAAGUUGACCGCCUGGGGAGUACGGUCGCAAGAAUAACUCAAUGAAUUGACGGGGUCAUAGCUGUUUCCU